rnacentral:rRNA from 1 species
UGCAACUCGACUCCAUGAAGCUGGAUUCGCUAGUAAUCGCGCAUCAGCCACGGCGCGGUGAAUACGUUCCCGGGCCUUGUACACACCGCCCGUCAAGCCAUGGAAGCCGGGAGUGCCUGAAGUACGCGACCGCAAGAAGCGUCCUAAGGUAAAACCGGUGACUGGGGCUAAGUCGUAACAAGGUACC